rnacentral:rRNA from 1 species
CUAACGGGUGAGUAAUGCGUGACCAACCUGCCCCAUGCUCCAGAAUAGCUCUUGGAAACGGGUGGUAAUGCUGGAUGCUCCAACUUGACGCAUGUCUUGUUGGUAAAGUGUUUAGUGGCAUGGGAUGGGGUCGCGUCCUAUCAGCUUGUAGGCGGGGUAAUGGCCCACCUAGGCUUCGACGGGUAGCCGGCCUGAGAGGGCGGACGGCCACAUUGGGACUGAGAUACGGCCCAGACUCCUACGGGAGGCAGCAGCC